CCUACGGGCGGCAGCAGUGGGGAAUAUUGGACAAUGGGCGAAAGCCUGAUCCAGCCAUGCCGCGUGUGUGAAGAAGGCCUUCGGGUUGUAAAGCACUUUCAGUGGGGAAGAAAGCCUUGGGGCUAAUACCCUCGAGGAAGGACAUCACCCACAGAAGAAGCACCGGCUGAACUCCGUGCCAGCAGCCGCGGUAAUACGGAGGGUGCGAGCGUUAAUCGGAAUUACUGGGCGUAAAGCGCGCGUAGGCGGUCUGAUAAGCCGGUUGUGAAAGCCCCGGGCUCAACCUGGGAACGGCAUCCGGAACUGUCAGGCUAGAGUGCAGGAGAGGAAGGUAGAAUUCCCGGUGUAGCGGUGAAAUGCGUAGAGAUCGGGAGGAAUACCAGUGGCGAAGGCGGCCUUCUGGACUGACACUGACGCUGAGGUGCGAAAGCGUGGGUAGCAAACAGGAUUAGAUACCCGGGUAGUC
rnacentral:rRNA from 1 species